UACGUAGGGGCAAGCGUUGUCCGGAAUUACUGGGCGUAAAGGGCGCGCAGGCUGUGCUGCAAGUCAGCUGUGAAAUGUCUGGGCUUAACCCGGGCAUGCGGUUGAGACUGCAGUGCUGGAGUGCUGUAGAGGCAAGUGGAAUUCCCAGUGUAGCGGUGAAAUGCGUAGAUAUUGGGAAGAACACCGGUGGCGAAGGCGACUUGCUGGGCAGCAACUGACGCUGAGGCGCGAAAGCCAGGGGAGCAAA
rnacentral:rRNA from 1 species